CAAUAUAGCACUCUAUAUCAGGGGCCAGCCAAGCCUACUACCAUGCAUGAGGCCACAACCAGCCCAAUAGCAUCAGCACCGUUGGAGCCCUGACCAACGUCCAAGCUUUAUCAAGCUCCCUGCAAAUUGCAUUUAGUGGCAAAGCAUCAAUAGAUGAAGUUGCAAAAUGAAUAUCUUAGGGGAAGCUACACUUGGCAUAUACACUAGUAGAGUUGGGUUUAAGUAACCAAGUCAUGUUUAAAAGAGUUAACUGAAGGAGUACAAUUAGCGUGUAACCUGGAAAACAUAUAGGUAGAGGCCUAGAGUAUCAACAGCAGCAAUACAUCUAGAGGCCUAGAGCAUUAGAGCAUCAACAGCAGCAGUAUAGCUAAAGGCCUAGAGCAUCAACAACAACAGUACAGCUAGAUUCUAGAGCAGUAAAGCAUCAACAGCAGUAGUACAGCUAGAGGCCUAGCGCUUUUCUUCCCGCACAUGACCAAGGCUAGGUGCUGAGCCAACGCCUCUUGCUUCAGCGUGCAUAAUCGGCCUAUUAAGCGCGCCUUCUUGAACUUUGACGACACAUGCUUGCAUAAACUCAUGGAAGGAAGGUGACAACAUUUCAGAGUAAUCCAAUUCAAAAUCAGAAGGUGUGCUUUCUACUCAAUAUUAACAGGGAUGCGUGUACCUCUAUGCUUUGGCAUCUCAGUCGGAGGGGACAAAAAAUUGUCCAGCAAAGUGAAGCCAUCUCUUGUUGCUUCAUGCAAAGCUACAGCCAGCCAGGAAGCAGCACCACCAAGUUUCAUGUGAUGGCGCGGUGGAACCAGCAAAAUAUAUUGUCCUGCAGAGGCAUUCUUAUCACCAUACAAUUAUCACAACUAGUAAUUGCCAGAACAAGAAAGCUUAAACAAAGGUUAAACCUCGGUAACAACAGCAGCAGGUCAAUAACAACAGCAUCAGGUCCUGGGAGUGCUUUAAUUUAGUCCAUUUUUUAUCAACAACUUAUCCUAAGGACGACAUGCUAUCGAACUUUGGAAAAUACAGUAUGAAUAUGACAGCAAUAGCAGCAAGUCCUACACUAAAAUAAGCAAUCAUGAUUUCUAACAAUAGAAAUCAUCAGCAGCAAGUCCUAACUUAACA
rnacentral:lncRNA from 1 species